rnacentral:rRNA from 1 species
GAUGAACGCUGGCGGAAUGCUUUACACAUGCAAGUCGAACGGCAGCACGGGUGCUUGCACCUGGUGGCGAGUGGCGAACGGGUGAGUAAUGCACCGGAACGUAUCCAAUAAUGGGGGAUAACGCACCGAAAGGUGUGCUAAUACCGCAUACGCCCUGAGGGGGAAAGCGGGGGAUCGUAAGACCUCGCGUUAAUGGAGCGGCCGAUGCCGGAUUAGCUAGUUGGUGAGGUAAAGGCUCACCAAGGCGACGAUCCGUAGCUGGUCUGAGAGGACGACCAGCCACACUGGAACUGAGACACGGUCCAGACUCCUACGGGAGGCAGCAGUGGGGAAUUUUGGACAAUGGGCGCAAGCCUGAUCCAGCCAUUCCGCGUGAGUGAAGAAGGCCUCGGUGUAAGACGUCUUUCGU